rnacentral:lncRNA from 1 species
CCAAAUUUUUGUGUGCUAUGGCCCAUGCCUUCCGCUUUGGGCCCGGAUGGAUCCGUCUUGGAAUGGCCUAAUAUUUGUCCCGGACAUCAAAUACUGCCUAAGAAACCAUUUCCAAUGCCCCGAAAUGACCAAAUUAUAUUUUUUGGCAUUUUACAGCCAUAAAACUGCAAAUCCGCGCGAGUCCCAAAUUUUGUGUGCUAUAGCCCAUGCCUUCCGCUUUGGGCCCGGAUGGAUCCAUCUUGGAAUGGCCUAAUAUUUGUCCCGGACAUCAAAUACGGCCUAAGAAACCAUUUCCAAUGCCCCAAAAAUGACCAAAUUAUAUUUUUUGGCAUUUUACACCCAUAAAACUGCAAAUCCGCGCGAGUCUCAAAUUUUUGUGUGCGAUAACCCAUGCCUUCCGCUUUGGGCCCGGAUGGAUCCGUCUUGGAAUCGCCGAAUAUUUGUCCCGAACAUCAAAUACGGCCUAAGAAACCAUUGCCACUACCCCGAAAUGACCAAAUUAUAUUUUUUGGCAUUUUAUAGCCAUAAAACUGCAAAUCCGUGCGACUCCCAAAUUUUGUGUGUUAUACCCCAUGCCUUCCGCCUUGGGCCCAGAUGGAUCCGUCCUGGAAUCGCCUAAUAUUUAUCUCGGACAUCAAAUACGGCCUAACAAAACAAUUUCCAAUGCCCCGAAAUGGUCUGUCCGAUUCGGACAGACCUCAACUUUUGGUCUUUUUAGGGUUCUUGGUGGUCUGAUUUGGAAUUCGUUCAGUUCUGGUCAGAU